rnacentral:rRNA from 1 species
CCUACGGGAGGCUGCAGUGGGGAAUAUUGCACAAUGGGGGGAACCCUGAUGCAGCAACGCCGCGUGGGUGAAGAAGUACUUCGGUAUGUAAAGCCCUGUCAGCAGGGAAGAAAAUGACGGUACCUGACCAAGAAGCCCCGGCUAAGUACGUGCCAGCAGCCGCGGUAAUACGUAGGGGGCAAGCGUUAUCCGGAUUUACUGGGGGUAAAGGGAGCGUAGACGGCAAGGCAAGUCUGGAGUGAAAGCCCGUGGCUCAACCACGGGACGGCUUUGGAAACUGUGUUGCUGGAGUGCAGGAGGGGUAAGCGGAAUUCCUAGUGUAGCGGUGAAAUGCGUAGAUAUUAGGAGGAACACCGGUGGCGAAGGCGGCUUACUGGACUGUAACUGACGUUGAGGCUCGAAGGCGUGGGGAGCAAACAGGAUUAGAUACCCGGGUAGUC